GCUGGGCACCAUGGCUUGUGCCUGUAAUCCCUGCUGCUCAGGAGGCUGAGGUGGGAGGAUCACUGCAGUCUAGGAGUUUAAGGCUGCAGUGAGCUGUGAUCAAGCCACUGCACUCUAGUCUGGGUGACAGAGUGAGACCCCAUCUCUU
ensembl:misc_RNA Metazoa_SRP Metazoan signal recognition particle RNA